UGGGGAAUUUUGGACAAUGGGCGAAAGCCUGAUCCAGCAAUGCCGCGUGUGUGAAGAAGGCCUUCGGGUUGUAAAGCACUUUUGUCCGGAAAGAAAUCCUUGGCUCUAAUACAGUCGGGGGAUGACGGUACCGGAAGAAUAAGCACCGGCUAACUACGUGCCAGCAGCCGCGGUAAUACGUAGGGUGCAAGCGUUAAUCGGAAUUACUGGGCGUAAAGCGUGCGCAGGCGGUUUGCUAAGACCGAUGUGAAAUCCCCGGGCUCAACCUGGGAACUGCAUUGGUGACUGGCAGGCUAGAGUAUGGCAGAGGGGGGUAGAAUUCCACGUGUACAGUGAAAUGCGUAGAGAUGUGGAGGAAUACCGAUGGCGAAGGCAGCCCCCUGGGGCCAAUACUGACGCUCAUGCACGAAAGCGUGGGGAGCAAACAGGAUUAGAUACCCUGGUAGUCCACGCCCUAAACGAUGUCAACUAGUUGUUGGGGAUUCAUUUCCUUAGUAACGUAGCUAACGCGUGAAGUUGACCGCCUGGGGAGUACGGUCGCAAGAUUAAAACUCAAAUGAAUUGACGGGGUCAUAGCUGUUUCCU
rnacentral:rRNA from 1 species